AUUGAACGCUGGCGGCAGGCCUAACACAUGCAAGUCGAGCGGAUGAAGGGAGCUUGCUCCUGGAUUCAGCGGCGGACGGGUGAGUAAUGCCUAGGAAUCUGCCUGGUAGUGGGGGAUAACGUCCGGAAACGGGCGCUAAUACCGCAUACGUCCUGAGGGAGAAAGUGGGGGAUCUUCGGACCUCACGCUAUCAGAUGAGCCUAGGUCGGAUUAGCUAGUUGGUGGGGUAAAGGCCUACCAAGGCGACGAUCCGUAACUGGUCUGAGAGGAUGAGCAGUCACACUGGAACUGAGCCACGGUCCAGACUCCUACGGGAGGCCGCCGUGGGGAAUAUUGGACAAUGGGCGAAAGCCUGAUCCAGCCAUGCCGCGUGUGUGAAGAAGGUCUUCGGAUUGUAAAGCACUUUAAGUUGGGAGGAAGGGCAGUAAGUUAAUACCUUGCUGUUUUGACGUUACCAACAGAAUAAGCACCGGCUAACUUCGUG
rnacentral:rRNA from 1 species